CGCUAUCAGAUGAGCCUAGGUCGGAUUAGCUAGUUGGUGAGGUAAUGGCUCACCAAGGCGACGAUCCGUAACUGGUCUGAGAGGAUGAUCAGUCACACUGGAACUGAGACACGGUCCAGACUCCUACGGGAGGCAGCAGUGGGGAAUAUUGGACAAUGGGCGAAAGCCUGAUCCAGCCAUGCCGCGUGUGUGAAGAAGGUCUUCGGAUUGUAAAGCACUUUAAGUUGGGAGGAAGGGCAGUUACCUAAUACGUAAUUGUUUUGACGUUACCGACAGAAUAAGCACCGGCUAACUCUGUGCCAGCAGCCGCGGUAAUACAGAGGGUGCAAGCGUUAAUCGGAAUUACUGGGCGUAAAGCGCGCGUAGGUGGUUUGUUAAGUUGAAUGUGAAAUCCCCGGGCUCAACCUGGGAACUGCAUCCAAAACUGGCAAGCUAGAGUAUGGUAGAGGGUGGUGGAAUUUCCUGUGUAGCGGUGAAAUGCGUAGAUAUAGGAAGGAACACCAGUGGCGAAGGCGACCACCUGGACUGAUACU
rnacentral:rRNA from 1 species